ensembl:processed_transcript
UUAAAGAGCCCAUAUUAUACAUGAAAUAGGGUCAUAUCCUGGUUGUAAGGGUCUCCAACAACAGUCUAAUAUGCAUGCAAGGUCAAAAAACACUUUCAUGGUCUUAUAAUCUGCAUUUAUUUUUAGCUAAUUAUCCCAGCGACUCCUGUAUGAAUCGUCCAGUGAUUCAUUUGUUCCCAAACCCCUCCUUAGCGCGGAGCUAAUCUGCGCUGAUUGGACCGAUGACAGUCUGUCGCGAUUGGUCGACUGCCUUCAGUCAGAGAGGGAAAUGGCCAAUAGCUAAUCAGCAAUUUAAAAAGUAAUCACAGUUCAUACACGCUCGAUAGUGUAGACGUGGAUUUUAGCUGCCACACUAUGGCGAGUGGAUGGUGCCACGGAUAACCGAACGAAGGAGACAGUCGUGUACUCGCCAUACCACACACACACAAAAACACACACACACCUCCGGAUGACAACGCUCCCGCUUCCGCCCGCACCCGCCAGGCUUUAGCCUGAGAACCCGCUCUGUUUUCUGCCCGCCGCGCCCGGUCCCGCUAGAGCGGAGAACACAACCAAAAAUCACCCAGUAUACAGUCCAGACAGCCAAGCUGUCUGUAUAAACACACACACACAGCACAAAGCACACAAAGCUCGUUCGUUCGUUCGUUCGUUCGCUCUCUCUCUCUCUCUCUCUCUCUCUCUCUC